GUGCAGAAGACUGUGUUGGAGACGAU
rnacentral:sRNA from 1 species